CACGUAGGGACCAAGCGUUGUCCGGAUUUAUUGGGCGUAAAGAGCUCGUAGGCGGUUCGGUAAGUCGGGUGUGAAAACUCUGGGCUCAACUCAGAGAUGCCACCCGAUACUGCCGUGACUUGAGUCCGGUAGGGGAGCACGGAAUUCCUGGUGUAGCGGUGAAAUGCGCAGAUAUCAGGAGGAACACCGGUGGCGAAGGCGGUUCUCUGGGCCUUACCUGACGCUGAGGAGCGAAAGCGUGGGGAGCGAACAGG
rnacentral:rRNA from 1 species